GAUGAACGCUAGCGGGAGGCUUAACACAUGCAAGUCGAGGGGCAGCACUAUGUAGCAAUACGUUGGUGGCGACCGGCGCACGGGUGAGUAACACGUAUGUAACCUACCCUGUACAGGGGGAUAACCCGGAGAAAUUCGGACUAAUACCCCAUAAUGAUAUUUAGUGGCAUCACUGGAUAUUUAAAGCUGAGGCGGUACGGGAUGGGCAUGCGGAACAUUAGCUAGUUGGCAGGGUAACGGCCUACCAAGGCUACGAUGUUUAGGGGUCCUGAGAGGGUGAUCCCCCACACUGGUACUGAGACACGGACCAGACUCCUACGGGAGGCAGCAGUGAGGAAUAUUGGUCAAUGGGCGGAAGCCUGAACCAGCCAUCCCGCGUGCAGGAAGACGGCCCUAUGGGUUGUAAACUGCUUUUCCAGGGGGUGAAUUUUCCGGUCGUGACCGGGAUUGACGGUACCCUGGGAAUAAGCAUCGGCUAACUCCGUGCCAGCAGCCGCCGUAAAAC
rnacentral:rRNA from 1 species